CAGUCGCCGCGGGAAUACGAAGGGGGCUAGCGUUGCUCGGAAUGACUGGGCGUAAAGGGCGCGUAGGCGGCGAUCAAAGUCAGGCGUGAAAUUCCUGGGCUCAACCUGGGGGCUGCGCUUGAUACUGGGUUGCUUGAGUGGGGAAGAGGGUCGUGGAAUUCCCAGUGUAGAGGUGAAAUUCGUAGAUAUUGGGAAGAACACCGGUGGCGAAGGCGGCGACCUGGUCCUUUACUGACGCUGAGGCGCGAAAGCGUGGGGAGCAAACAGGAUUAGAUACCCGCGUAGUCCCUGUCUCUUAUAA
rnacentral:rRNA from 1 species